rnacentral:miRNA from 1 species
UCUCUAAACUCUUCCUUCCAGU